rnacentral:rRNA from 1 species
UACGAAGGGUGCAAGCGUUACUCGGAAUUACUGGGCGUAAAGCGCGCGUAGGUGGUUUGUUAAGUUGGAUGUGAAAGCCCCGGGCUCAACCUGGGAACUGCAUCCAAAACUGGCAGGCUAGAGUACGGUAGAGGGUGGUGGAAUUUCCUGUGUAGCGGUGAAAUGCGUAGAUAUAGGAAGGAACACCAGUGGCGAAGGCGACCACCUGGACUGAUACUGACACUGAGGUGCGAAAGCGUGGGGAGCAAACAGG